rnacentral:rRNA from 1 species
UACGUAGGGUGCGAGCGUUAAUCGGAAUACUGGGCGUAAAGCGUGCGCAGGCGGUGAGCUGUGUCCGAUGUGAAAGCCCCGGGCUUAACCUGGGAAUGGCAUUGGAAACUGGCUCGCUGGAGUGUGGCAGAGGGGGUGGAAUUCCGCGUGUAGCAGUGAAAUGCGUAGAGAUGCGGAGGAACACCGAUGGCGAAGGCGGCCCCCUGGGGCCGUCAACCACG